CCUACGGGGGGCAGCAGUGGGGAAUAUUGGACAAUGUGGGGAACCCUGAUCCAGCCAUGCCGCGUGUGUGAAGAAGGCCCUCGGGUUGUAAAGCACUUUCAGUGAGGAAGAACGCCUGGUGGUUAAUACCCAUCAGGAAAGACAUCACUCACAGAAGAAGCACCGGCUAACUCCGUGCCAGCAGCCGCGGUAAUACGGAGGGUGCGAGCGUUAAUCGGAAUUACUGGGCGUAAAGCGCGCGUAGGUGGCUUGAUAAGCCGGUUGUGAAAGCCCCGGGCUCAACCUGGGAACGGCAUCCGGAACUGUCAAGCUAGAGUGCAGGAGAGGAAGGUAGAAUUCCCGGUGUAGCGGUGAAAUGCGUAGAGAUCGGGAGGAAUACCAGUGGCGAAGGCGGCCUUCUGGACUGACACUGACACUGAGGUGCGAAAGCGUGGGUAGCAAACAGGAUUAGAUACCCUUGUAGUC
rnacentral:rRNA from 1 species